rnacentral:rRNA from 1 species
UACGGAGGAUGCAAGCGUUAUCCGGAAUGAUUGGGCGUAAAGCGUCCGCAGGUGGCUAUGUAAGUCUGCUGUUAAAGAGUGAGGCUCAACCGUCAUAAAAGCAGUGGAAACUAGCAUGGCUAGAGUGCGUUCGGGGCGAGAGGGAAUCUGGUGUAGCGGUGAAAUGCGUAGAGAUCAGGAAGAACACCGGUGGCGAAAGCGCUCUGCUAGGCCGCAACUGACACUCAUGGACGAAAGCUAGGGGAGCGAAUGGG